GGAUGAGGAGUCUGGGGGCUCUAGGGGAUAUGCCAACCUUGAGACUGUGAGCAGACUUCCAGACUGUGAUCUAGGGAGAGAGAGAGAGACAGAGAGAGAGAGGUUGAUUUUGAAGAACUGGCGCCUGUAAUAAUAGAGGCUGAGAAAUCCCACAAUCUGCUAUGUGCAAGCUGGAGCCCAGGAAAGCCAAUGGUGUAGUUCAGUCCAAGUCAAAAUGCCUGAGAACCAGGGAAGCCAAUGGUGUGAAUCUCAGUCGAGGGCCAGAGAAGAUGUGAUGAAAUGUCUCUGCUCAAGCAGGCAGGCGGCAAGCAAGUUAAGGGCGAAUUCCUCCUUCCUUUGCCUUUUGUUCUCUUCAGGCCCUCAGGAGAGUAGAUGGUGACCACCCACACUGGGGCAGACACCAACUUUGCCAAUCCACGGAUUCAAAUUCUAAUCUCCUCUGGAAAUACCCUCACAGACAUACCCAGAAAUCAGGUUUAAUCCGAGCACCUGCGUCCAGUCAAGUUGCCACAUAGAAUUCAGCAUCACAGGUGCUGAGCUGGCUCCUGACUGUGCAAGGGCUUCUUCCCUGGUCUGACCUCCAGAGGGCAUACCCUGCUGGGUGUGUCCUUACGCCUGAGUAGUGGCCAAAGGGCAGCUGUUUGUGGAGGUGUGGAUGGAGUUGACUGUGUGAGCUGCAGCAUGCACUAGUGGCCCCAGGAAGUUCCUCAUUCAUGGAGGGCUGGCUGUGGGAAAAGAGGGAGCAUGGGCUGUGAGCCAGGAGUUAGCACUCCCUGUGCCACCGCAUUCCUACCUUGGGUUUCUGGGUUGUUUGGAGGGUAUAUUUAUCAGAUAGGAGAAUAGGAUCUUUUAUUCAGCAGUUUGUUAGCUUUGAUUUAUAACUUCUAAAUAACUAGACACAUGGUUUGGGGACCUUAGUCUGUACUCUUGCUUUGGGCCCCACAAAUGUUAGAGGCAGACCAGAUCAACAUUUCCAGAUUAGUAACAUCUUAGACUUGAUUUCUUCUAAACAAGAAUUGUCCUUCAAGCCAGGCCCCAGGGAGGGAAAAAUGGACAAAAGGUAAAGGAAAUAUGACCUCCAGGCUGGCAGGGCCCAGGGAGGGAAAACCCAGCUUGUGUGGCAAGGCAGCAAAUCUUGGCGUGUCCUUUCUAAGCCCUGUCUGCAUCUCAGGUAAGGAGUGAGAGAAUGGGAAUGGGGCAUAAUUCUGUUUUGCAGAACUGACAGACUUGAGCUAUCUUGGGGGACCCAAAAUCUAGGUUUUUCUAAUUUCAUUCUCUCCAGGAUUCUAGCCUCCCCAGCAUGAGUCAAGUUGUCCUAAUUUUUCCUAGAAUGAGAUAAUAGUCUGAAAAUGUGAACACUUUUCUGGGUAACUUUAACAUAUUUUCAGAAACAAUUGCACAUAAAAAAGACUUCUUCAAUUAUUUUAUAAGGGGAUUAACACGGAAACUUUUUUUUUGUAUUUCACACACAUUGGAAUGUGUAAAAGGCAUUGUUACAUGACAGUCACUACUUGAUACCAUAUUCCACAUACUUUAAUGAAAAUAUUCCUUAAAACACCCAAUUACUUUUCUCCCAUUAGAUCUGCUAUGUACAGUUGUCCAGGUUGUUGACUGUGUAAGAAUACUUAGCCCAAGAAAUGAAUAGGAUCUAAAAUCCAGCCUACUGUCUCCUUGUCAAGCUGAGCGCCCUGACAUGGCCUGCAUUCACCAGGAGGAAGGAUGCUUUUUUCUAAUCACAAAAGUCACAGUCUGCUUGUCAAACCACAUACCUUGCUCAUGAGAGGGGCAUGUUUGCUGAGGUUACCCUCAAACUAACAGAGCUGAGGAUGCUAAAAUGAUGCCAUAUGUUGAGGAAUAGUGAAAGCCUUCUGGGGAGAUGGUCAUCUUGGAAUCUGAUUACUUGCCCUCUCCCUCUCUGCACCCUCUCUCCCUCUCUCACUUCCACUGCAGUGAAGAGAAAGAAUGCCUUUCUGGGAAAAAAAUUACUGGCAAAAAAAACAAACCAAACCAAAACAAACGCCAAGAAACCCCACAACAACACAGCUGCUGUGAUUUCUGUGGGUCCCAAAGAAAAGAGGAGCUAACUGCUGCUUCAGCCUGUGUAAUAGCCAGGUCCUGGGACAGAAUUAGCUACAGUUAGAAAAUAAAGUCAACAAGGAGCAGUUCUCUGAUCUCAUCUGCAAACUCUUUUGAUACUUUGGGAUAGAAUUUGUAUUAACAGAAGUUUUGAAGUCAUUCAGAAUGCCACAUGACCAACGUGGGGUCACCAAUUGGAACAGGGAAGAGAUGUGCACAAUGGCCCUCUCUCCAGCUUGUGUGAGCCGGCUCCAACACACAUCCUGUGGAGCGAGAGUUUGCUGCACACCAGGUAUGCACACCAGCAGCCUAUGCCAACGUCUGUCAGAGGUGGCAAAUUGUUGACUAAAAUCUCCUGGAACUGCUUCCUGAUUUAGCAGGAAAAAAAAUUAGAAUUUUCUUCACUGGGGGACAGAAGGUCAACAUAGAAUCAUCAGCUCCUUUAUCUGGAUUCCUUAUCUCUGCUCUUUUUGUUCUUUUACCUGCCAAGUUCUCUACACCCUCUCAGGUCUUGUGACUUUGCUGGCACCUGUUCCCUUGCUCUGACAGUUCCUGCUAAGUGUCCCCUUGGCCUGCUGAUCCUCUGCUUGGGGUUAGCUCUGCAUUCUGCUACAAGCAGUGGAGAUAGGUGAAUCCCAACUUCAGAUUACAUACCUGAUUCUAGACACUUCUAGAUCCUCCCCUAGACAACCUCUUUAUGAAGGGUCUUCAGGCCACAGCUGUUUUCAACUCAUAGCUUCUAAUAGCAGGUAUACAUCAAAAUCAUCACUGUGAAUUUUGAAAAUUUUUAAAAAAUUAGAUGCCUUCUCUGAACAGGUCCAGAGUGGGGCUUGGGAGUGUGUCUUUCUAAAAAGCAACAACAACAAAACAAAAACCAAAAACCUACAGGGAAAACAGUUUGGAGAUUUCUCAACGAAUUAAAAAUUGAAUUACCAUUUGACCCAGUGAUCUCAUUACUGAGUAUGCACCCAAAGGAAAAUAAAUUGUUUUUCCAA
rnacentral:lncRNA from 10 species